AAAUGAUGGUGCAGGCCUAAACAUGCAAGUCGAGCGAGACCUUCGGGUCUAGCGGCGGACGGGUUAGUAACGCGUGGGAACGUGCCCAGCUCUGCGGAAUAGCCUCUGGAAACGGAGAGUAAUACCGCAUACGCCCUUCGGGGGAAAGAAUUUCGGAGUUGGAUCGGCCCGCGUUAGAUUAGGUAGUUGGUGGGGUAACGGCCUACCAAGCCUACGAUCUAUAGCUGGUUUGAGAGGAUGAUCAGCAACACUGGGACUGAGACACGGCCCAGACUCCUACGGGAGGCAGCAGUGGGGAAUCUUCGGCAAUGGGCGCAAGCCUGACCGAGCCAUGCCGCGUGAGCGAUGAAGGCCUUAGGGUUGUAAAGCUCUUUCGCCAGGGAUGAUAAUGACAGUACCUGGUAAAGAAACCCCGGCUAACUCCAUGCCAGCAGCCGCGGUAAUACGGAGGGGGUUAGCGUUGUUCGGAAUUACUGGGCGUAAAGCGCGCGUAGGCGGAUUGGAAAGUUAGAGGUGAAAUCCCAGGGCUCAACCCUGGAACUGCCUUUAAAACUCCCAGUCCUGAGUUCGAUAGAGGUGAGUGGAAUUCCGAGUGUACACGUGAAAUUCGUAUAUAUUCGGAGGAACACCAUUGGCAAAAGCCGCUGAUGGGCUCGAUACUAACCCUGAGGUGCUAUCUUGCGCCAAGCUGCUGGGAUUCCACUCGUGGAGCUCCACAUCGUAGACGACGGUGCCGACGUCGGGCAACAUGCUAUUCUUUGUCAGACCUAGCGGAUUAAGUGUUAAUUUGUGGGAGCAGGCGGAUAUAUACUCUGUUUGUCUUGACGG
rnacentral:rRNA from 1 species